AAUGUUCCACAUGCUCACUCAAAGGCCCGCCAAAUCAUGUCGAGUGAAUAUUCAAUUUAAUGUUAAUCUUCGUACAAACAAGAAUAUACUACACAAACCCGAACAAAAUAGCACAUCAAACUAAAGCGCGUUAGGACCUACUCAAAGGCCUAUCAAAUCAUAUCAAUCAUCGUUUCUAGUAAACAACUUCGGUGUUUGUCUGAACGAUAUUAAGCAACAAUAAGAUAUCGAGCAAACAACAUGCUAUUGCGUAAUCAACACUCCACAUGCUCACUCAAAGGCCCGCCAAAUCAUAUCGAAUAAAAAAUUCAAUUUAAUGUCAAUCUUUGUACAGACAAGAAUACACUACACAAUCCCAAGCAAGUAGAACAUCACACUACAGCGCGUUAUGACCCACUCAAAGGCCUAUCUAAUCAUAUCAUUUACCGUUCACUGUGAACGCCUUCAGUCUCCGUAUGGACAUAUUUAAUCAAUAACAAAAUAUCGAGCAACAACACGUAGUAACGUCACCAACAUUGCACGUGCUCACUCAAAGGCCCCUUGAAUAAUAUCAAAUACGUGUUCAAUCCAAUAGUAGUUAAUACACAGGCAGAAACACGCAACAAAAUACGGAGCAACAAUACAAUAUCAUGUCAAAGGCCAAAUGGCCAAGCAUUAUAUAAUGAACAUAUGUACCUCACCAAGGUAUAUAACGUAUAACUUCAUCAAAAGGCAACUUACAAGAAUCUAUGUACAUGCACGGAAGACAUAAUGACAGUCAUUUCAAUUCUACAUCGAUAAAGGCACGCACUCCACAUACACACAAUAUUACAACGCCCGUUGAUAAUACUGUUGCUAAAAAAUGUCACGUAAGUUAAGGAAAAUGACAACACCAUGGGAGUACAUGUCAUAGCUAGACACACCUUUGCAAAUAAGGUAUCAAAUGCAAAGAUCAACAACAGUAUCCGAUGGCAAAGGCAUUUGAACGCCGGAUUCACGUGGCAAACGCAACCAGUCUAUGGCAACACGACGACUAUUGAGUGGGGAUAAAACAAUCGCUUCUCUAUAUAAGCGCUACGCACAAACAAUAGCCCGGCAGUGCAUCAUCACAAUCAACGAGGCACACCACGUCCACGCAGCUCGUCUCAAGAAAACGCGAAUUUCAUUUUGAUUUAAUUUCUUUCUCUUUCUUGAAACAAAUUAAAUUAUUGCGUUUAUUCUAACACCAGAGAAAAGAACAUAGUAUCGUAAAAGUCGUAGAGUAAUAGUAACGCGCAUCAACCCACACCUACCAGAGACGUUACCACCACCACAACAAGGAUCCACAUCAAUACAAGGCGUUUGAAGCAAUUAAGCCAUUCAGCACUCAACCAACAUCUUAUACAUCAAGGAGCACAUUCAUCUCAUAACCAGCUCCUUCAAAACUCAAAUCCAACAAUCCCCAUACAUUAUACAAUCACAUUUCCAAAAUCAGCCACAGACCAUCAAUAGCUCAACAUUUCAUCAACCGAACUAUCAUUUUCUAACUCUCAAUCAGUCAUCAACUCAAUUUUUCUCAGCUUAUAAGCACAACCACAAACAAACUGCUUCAUUCAUUCACUCUCACUGGCAGAAGCUUUUAGCUUUACACAGUGCAUCACGGAAUCACGUUAUAAUCAUCAUCGGUAUCAUGUAAUAACCAAGUCACAACCGAGUAGGUAUACCAAUAAUUAACUAAAGAUCAACUUUUAAACCAACAUGGUUACCGGUUUUAACCAUAAUUACCCCCCCCCUCCCGCACAACAUGACAUACGACGCAGCAGUGAAUUCGGCUCACGAAAUCGGAAGUAUUAAAAUAAUAUUAAAAUUCUCGCCCAAAAUUAUAUAUUAUUUAUGCCCCAGUGCUAAUAAAUUGAUUUUCUAUUAUGACACUAAAACAGUAAUUUAUGAUAAUAAUAUACUAUAAUUUAUUUUAAUGGCCGGGAAUGAGAACCAUAAUAUAUAUAAUCGUUGAAUUCUAAGCCUAGAAAUACAUCAUUCGUAUUAUAAAUAGGAUAUCAUCAUUUAGACCCAAAACAUUUUCUUUUUGAGAUCAACAGUUACGUUGUAUCUAUGUUAAAUUCCAAACGGUAAUCAUAAUGUAGUUACUAUACUUUACAAAUGAUCUUUUUUUUCUUAUAGUUGUCUUCUUGUGUAGUAGUUACGGUUCUAAAGUACCAUGUAUGCAAUAACAUUUAUAAUUAAUAUGCAGCUAAAAUAUAAAAAUUACUUUCAAUAAUAAAUAUUGUGGUUGACAAAUUUCACAGGUAUAACACAGUUUUAUGUUUUUAUUUCGUAUGGUGCUUAAAACAAACACAAUAUGCUGCACUAAUACGGUAUAAGAUCUCACAUCACAACAAAUAAUAAAAUAUAAAUAAUUGUUAAACAAAUCAUAAUAAAGUUUCAAAAUUACUUUAUACCAA